CCUACGGGAGGCAGCAGUGGGGAAUAUUGCACAAUGGGCGAAACCCUGAUGCAGCGACGCCGCGUGAGUGAAGAAGUAAUUCGUUAUGUAAAGCUCUAUCAGCAGGGAAGAAAAUGACGGUACCUGAGUAAGAAGCACCGGCUAACUACGUGCCAGCAGCCGCGGUAAUACGGAGGGCGCAAGCGUUAUCCGGAUUUACUGGGGGUAAAGGGAGCGUAGACGGCAGUGCAAGUCUGGGGUGAAAGGCGGGGGGUCAACCCCCGGACUGCUCUGGAAACUGGACGGCUGGAGUGCAGGAGAGGUAAGUGGAAUUCCUGGUGUAGCGGUGAAAUGCGUAGAUAUUAGGAGGAACACCAGUGGCGAAGGCGGCUUACUGGAAUGUAACUGACGUUGAGGCUCGAAAGCGUGGGGAGCAAACAGGAUUAGAUACCCGAGUAGUC
rnacentral:rRNA from 1 species